UCUGUAACGGAAGGAUUCCAUGGUGUGAUUGAAAGAACAUGAGGUCUAGAAGUGGAAACCCCAGGUUAGAAUUAAGGCUUCUUUCCUGACCAGCUGUGUAACCCUGAAAAAGCCACUUCAUCUCUCUGAUUCCUAGCUCUCUUAACUAUGGAGAAGGAACACCUGCCUCCCAGAGAUGUUGUGAAGAUCCUAGACAAGGAUGCGAAAGCUCUUGAGCCUUCUCUUGGUCUUCUAGCAAGUGACUCUGACAAAGUCUGUGCCAAAACCAUGCCAACACAACCGGUGGAAAAAGAAGAUUUUAGUUAAACAACCAGGUUCCCUUGACCAAAUUCCAAAUCUCAGAUGGGGUGAUUUUUCCUCUCUGCAUUAACCCCCCCCCUUUUUUUUUUUACUAAACCAACAGAAUCAACUAGAUCUUUUGAUUUCUUUUAGACAAAGGGAGGAGGGAAGUCACAUUUGUACAGCACCUAUUGUGUGUCACGCUCUGUGUUAGGCACAUUCUAACCACUCCCAUGUAAUGCUCACAGCCCUACAAUGGGGAGGUGCUUGACUCUGCUUUACUGAUGAGGCACCUGAGGUUCAGAGAGGUUGAGUAACUUGCUGGAGGUACCCAGCAAAGUGUUUGGGAGAGCUAGGUCU
rnacentral:lncRNA from 1 species